CAGCCGCCGCGGUAAUACGAAGGGUGCAAACGUUGCUCGGAAUUAUUGGGCGUAAAGCGCACGUAGGCGGCUCCGCAAGUCGGAUGUGAAAUCCCUCGGCUUAACCAAGGAAGUGCAUCCGAAACUGCAGAGCUUGAGAACUUAAGAGGAUCGCGGAAUUCCCGGUGUAGAGGUGAAAUUCGUAGAUAUCGGGAAGAACACCAGUGGCGAAGGCGGCUCACCGGACCGACACUGACGCUGAGGCGCGAAAGCGUGGGGAGCAAACAGGAUUAGAGACCCCGGUAGUCCCUGUCUCUUAUAC
rnacentral:rRNA from 1 species